ACGGGUGAGUAACGCGUGAGAACGUACCUUUCGGUUCGGAAUAAUUCAGGGAAACUUGGACUAAUACCGGAUACGCCCUUCGGGGGAAAGAUUUAUCGCCGAUAGAUCGGCCCGCGUCUGAUUAGCUAGUUGGUGAGGUAAUGGCUCACCAAGGCGACGAUCAGUAGCUGGUCUGAGAGGAUGAUCAGCCACAUUGGGACUGAGACACGGCCCAAACUCCUACGGGAGGCAGCAGUGGGGAAUAUUGGACAAUGGGCGCAAGCCUGAUCCAGCCAUGCCGCGUGAGUGAUGAAGGCCUUAGGGUUGUAAAGCUCUUUUGUCCGGGAAGAUAAUGACUGUACCGGAAGAAUAAGCCCCGGCUAACUUCGUGCCAGCAGCCGCGGUAAUACGAAGGGGGCUAGCGUUGCUCGGAAUCACUGGGCGUAAAGGGCGCGUAGGCGGACUUUUAAGUCGGGGGUGAAAGCCCAGGGCUCAACCCUGGAAUUGCCUUCGAUACUGGGAGUCUUGAGUUCGGAAGAGGUUGGUGGAACUGCGAGU
rnacentral:rRNA from 1 species